AAUAGAUACCCCGGUAGUCCACGCCGUAAACGAUGAGUGCUAAGUGUUAGAGGGUUUCCGCCCUUUAGUGCUGCAGCUAACGCAUUAAGCACUCCGCCUGGGGAGUACGGUCGCAAGACUGAAACUCAAAGGAAUUGACGGGGGCCCGCACAAGCGGUGGAGCAUGUGGUUUAAUUCGAAGCAACGCGAAGAACCUUACCAGGUCUUGACAUCCUCUGACAACUCUAGAGAUAGAGCGUUCCCCUUCGGGGGACAGAGUGACAGGUGGUGCAUGGUUGUCGUCAGCUCGUGUCGUGGGAUGUUGGGUUAAGUCCCGCAACGAGCGCAACCCUUGAUCUUAGUUGCCAGCAUUCAGUUGGGCACUCUAAGGUGACUGCCGGUGACAAACCGGAGGAAGGUGGGGAUGACGUCAAAUCAUCAUGCCCCUUAUGACCUGGGCUACACACGUGCUACAAUGGAUGGUACAAAGGGCUGCAAGACCGCGAGGUCAAGCCAAUCCCAUAAAACCAUUCUCAGUUCGGAUUGU
rnacentral:rRNA from 1 species